CGACUAAUCUGAAGAUACGGAUCAACACAACCACCUGUCUUCAAGAUAUCUUAACAAUCAUCAGCUAGGUGCUCUAAUGGUUGCAUCAAGGCAUUACUGAGGUGUGAAAUACAAGCUGAAAGCUCCAAGGGAAUCGCUGCAGCAUCAAGAACAGUCUGCAAAAGAUGACAUGGAAGCAUUGACAUAACUGGCAAAGCUACCAAGAUUCAUGGAAUGAUCAACUCACAGAACAAAACACGACAAUACCAUUACAGUGAGAUAGCGAACCAUGUCACAUCAGAAGGAAUCACAAUGCUGCUGGUUCUAGUGCCCUCACUUCAUUCCAUGUAAGUUACAAGAUUGAAAUCCUUUUCUCUAGAAAAGAAAGCAGGGUCAUAGUUAGGUUACCUUCCACCAUAUAGUAGAAAACCAAGAGCGGCGAACAAAGAAACACCUACACAACGAAGAGUCAAAAGCAUAACUGAUCAAUAUCACUGCGAUAAGAAUAAAAUACUGCGUUGAGUUUUAAGAAGCAGAACAACCUGCAAAAAACAUCUUCGAAAGGAUAACUACAACUGGAAUAGGUUUCCACCACAGGAUCAACCACAUUGCUAUCUGAACAACAAAUUUCAGAUUUAAAAGCAUGAGUGAACAAAAGUGGAAACAUUUUCUAUAGAAUAUCAGUUUUUACAGGUCCAAAAAUCAUUCACACCAAGAGAAGUAGAAUAACAUACAAUAUCUCACUCAGGUAAAAAACUAUAACAUGUGUAACUUGGCAAGCCAAGUUUUUUCAUUACAUCGACUUAUUCUACUAAGCUUAGGUUGACUAUACAAAUCCUUUUACACCAUUGCACUCAAUCUUACGUCAUCUCCACCGGUGUUUCCCAAACCACUUGUCCUAAAACACCUCACACAAGUUUUCCUUAUCUUGUCCUUAAUAAAAUUUGUAACCUCUUUUCCUCAAAUAGAUUAGUUUCUAAAUACCCUUUUUGUUCCAUGUACGUAUUUGUCGAAACAAACAUCCUCAUCUCUGCUACACUCGAUUUUAUGUGCUUGUUGGUAUUUGACAGCGCAAUCUACCGUGUCAUACUAGAGCACUGUCGUUCCUUACUCAAUCUGCCUAUGUGAGAUUUAUCUUCACGUC